CAAAUACUUUUUAUUGGGUCAAUAGUGAUUCCAUGACCUUCAGCUGAUGAUAACAAGUUGAAUUAUAAAAUUAAUUGCACCAACUUUCUUGCUUUUUAUAUGAACAAUCUUGUGUAUUCGUAUUAUAUUCAAGAACGGCAGCAGCAAAAGAGCUGCAAGCCUUGUUAAAAUUCACCAUUUUUCACAAACUUUUUAAUAUUUUGUCAUAAUUUUUUGAGAAACUCAAAAACUUCAAACUUGGAGUUG